rnacentral:rRNA from 1 species
UCUUUUUCCACCGGAGCUUGCUCCACCGGAAAAAGAAGAGUGGCGAACGGGUGAGUAACACGUGGGUAACCUGCCCAUCAGAAGGGGAUAACACUUGGAAACAGGUGCUAAUACCGUAUAACAAUCGAAACCGCAUGGUUUUGAUUUGAAAGGCGCUUUCGGGUGUCGCUGAUGGAUGGACCCGCGGUGCAUUAGCUAGUUGGUGAGGUAACGGCUCACCAAGGCCACGAUGCAUAGCCGACCUGAGAGGGUGAUCGGCCACAUUGGGACUGAGACACGGCCCAAACUCCUACGGGAGGCAGCAGUAGGGAAUCUUCGGCAAUGGACGAAAGUCUGACCGAGCAACGCCGCGUGAGUGAAGAAGGUUUUCGGAUCGUAAAACUCUGUUGUUAGAGAAGAACAAGGAUGAGAGUAACUGUUCAUCCCUUGACGGUAUCUAACCAGAAAGCCACGGCUAACUACGUGCCAGCAGCCGCGGUAAUACGUAGGUGGCAAGCGUUGUCCGGAUUUAUUGGGCGUAAAGCGAGCGCAGGCGGUUUCUUAAGUCUGAUGUGAAAGCCCCCGGCUCAACCGGGGAGGGUCAUUGGAAACUGGGAGACUUGAGUGCAGAAGAGGAGAGUGGAAUUCCAUGUGUAGCGGUGAAAUGCGUAGAUAUAUGGAGGAACACCAGUGGCGAAGGCGCUCUCUGGUCUGUAACUGACGCUGAGGCUCGAAAGCGUGGGGAGCAAACAGGAUUAGAUACCCUGGUAGUCCACGCCGUAAACGAUGAGUGCUAAGUGUUGGAGGGUUUCCGCCCUUCAGUGCUGCAGCUAACGCAUUAAGCACUCCGCCUGGGG